UACGGAGGGUGCGAGCGUUGUCCGGAUUUAUUGGGUUUAAAGGGUGCGUAGGUGGCUAUUUAAGUCAGUGGUGAAAUACAGCCGCUCAACGGUUGAGGUGCCAUUGAUACUGAAUAGCUUGAAAGAAUUGGAGGCUGCCGGAAUGGAUGGUGUAGCGGUGAAAUGCAUAGAUAUCAUCCAGAACACCGAUUGCGAAGGCAGGUGGCUACGAUUUAUUUGACACUGAGGCACGAAAGCUAGGGGAGCAAACGGG
rnacentral:rRNA from 1 species